rnacentral:rRNA from 1 species
AGAGUCCCGUCUUGGACCGCGGUAGGGCCUGUGUAAAACUCCUUCGAAGAGUCGACUUGUUUGGGAAUGCAGGUCAAAAUGGGUGGUAAAUUUCAUCUAAAGCUAAAUAUUGGCCAGAGACCGAUAGCGCACAAGUAGAGUGAUCGAAAGAUGAAAAGCACUUUGAAAAGAGAGUUAAACAGUAUGUGAAAUUGUUGAAAGGGAAGCGCUGGCAACCAGACUCGUGCGCGGGGUUCCCCCUUGCUUCUGCUUGGGUCACUUCCCCGUGUCCGGGCCAUCAUCAGUUUCGGGGGCCGGUUAAAGGCCCUGGGAAUGUACCCACGCCUUCGGGGGUGGACUUAUAGCCCAGGGUGUCAUGCGGCCACCCGGGACUGAGGAACGCGCUUCGGCGAGGAUGAUGGCGUAAUGGUUGUCAGCGGCCCGUCUUGAAACACGGACCAAGGAGUCUAACAUCUAUGCGAGUGUUCGGGUGU